AGUCCUAAGAGAAGAAGGUGUCCUGAAGUCCCUAGAGGAGAAUGUGAUCACAUGGGAAAAGAAUAAUAUUGAAAACCUCCCAGAUUUGGCCAUUAAAUCACUGGUGUCCUUCGUGAGAGCAUUUUGGUGGAGUUUGGGAACGCCAAUUAUCUAGCUUCUUCUCUUCUGUAUUAUGACUCCACUUACUGUGACCUCACCAAGCAGAAAGAAGAUGU
rnacentral:lncRNA from 1 species